CUGCAGUGCACCGCGAGAGUAAACUGACCGGACUAAUUGAUGUCAGGUGCUUUUUGUGCUUGUGUCGGUAAAACAGAGUUGUUGUAAGGCUGAGUAUUACAACCAAAAUGCCGUACAAUUAGAGCAUCUUUGUUCUAGAAAACAAACUGGUCUGCAUGGACUGGACUCUCAGUGCAGGACUGCUUGGGUCAGUGACACACAGACAAAACGGGCUGAAUGGGAUGAAUAUGAUGUGGAUGACCCCCUCCUCUCCCCGGUCAACAAGUUAUGGGUACCUAUGGAGCCAGACGGCGCACUGACUCUCAGACGAGUCCUCCUGACCUGUGACUCUCCCUUCAAUCCACUUCAGUCCAGUGAAUCGGGUUUCUGAAGAAAAAAAAAAAAAAGCCAAGAAACCGAAACCCGCCUCAAAGCCAUAUCUAGAGCCCUGACAGCAGGGACCUGGUGCUGAGCCGCGUUCCCGUUCAUCAUCACCAGAACCAACCACCCACAGCGGGCGGGGUGGGGUUGGGGGACUCUGUUAUCUGUGUCACCCCACUGUCCCUCCCCCCACUACCUCCAUCCCCCUCCUCCUGCUCUGUCUUUGGCCCUUCUCCAGAGAGACCAAAAAGCCGGUCUCUCUCGGCUCCCUGAUUGUUUUUGUUCCUGUGAGCAGACAAAUAGAGUUUGGACUCUUACAAAAGAAAAUGCCGGAGCUCAUCUGAUCUUACUGCCCUAAGGAGUGGCUUGGCCUGAAGGGUUAGUGAUUGGAAAAUUACAGUGCUGCUCCAGCCAUAUUGUCAGGGAGUCUCGGCCAGACUCUUUUUUUUUUUUUUUUUUCUGUUUGUGUGAAAGGCCAUCAGCUGAACGGCCAAUUGUGCACGUUUACAACGCAUCCAUCAAUACUGUGGAGUGAUUGGCUGUCAAGAGUGCUAAUUUAGAUGUGGAUCCUUUGUGCGGUAAUCCUAAUUUGAGUAACUUCUUUGACUCUGAUCGUUAUACAUGUGAAUCCAGAGCAAAUUGUGCUGUAAUCAGAUAAACCUCAGUUUUUCAGCCUGAAAUGAUGCCAGCUUCCGCAUUGCAAGAAAAAUCAAAACGCACAUUAUUCAAAUGCGUGCUCAGCAACUGGUCAGCAAAAUUUGGUGUGAGACAGCAGUCAGGGAUUUGGUCUUUGGGUGAAAAUACCUGUUGCGGCUCCAUGUUGAUGUUGAAGCUGCCCAUCCCUGCCGCACAAGUGGCCCUCUGAUAGUGAUUACAAUUGGGAAAGGAGGAGUAAAACAAGGCCCUUGUCAGCACAGACCCUCCAGAUUUGAGGUCAAUUUCGCCCCCUGAUUGCACGUAUUUUUGUGUCUGUGGGGGGAGGGAGAGACAGAGCGAGAGUUUACUGUUGCCUCAUUGAAGCCAUCAUCAUCACCUGACAAGCAGAGGCUGAAGCCUGAGCCUGUCAGUUUCAUCCUUUUGUUUUUCCCCUGCAGCCUCCCUGUCUUUUAUUCUUCCCUGCCUCCCCCCUUUUUCUACCCCUCAUCCCUAUCUCUGCUUCUCUUCCACCCCUUGGCCCUGGCCCUCUGCCUGCUCUUUCGCUCACCCCCCAUGUUCGCAAAUCACUUCUUCCCGUGUCAGCAGGUAAAUUGUUUUGUCCUCCCAUUCCCUGCUUUCAUUACCUUGUGUAAAUUAAGCGAUAUGUCGUCCACCGGUGCGCGCCAGAGCACUCACUGCGCCAACGCCAAAAUCAUGAGAUUUGGCAUAAUAAAUGAAGACAAACUGGCAGUAGCAGUGCUCCUCUCCGCGCGGGCUCGCCUUCAUUAUUCGCUUAACUUGCCGGAGAAAAUGACUUAACCCUGACCUGUGUAUUUCGUCCCAUAUUCACUCCAGAUAAAAGCCUUUUUACAGCGCACAACAAUUUAUAUUCCAGCAAAGAGGCUGCUUUUCUCUGUCAGUUUUCCAAUCUCAGCUCCUGAACACACGUCAUUAAACUUGUCUUGCCUUCCUGU